rnacentral:tRNA from 2 species
UACAUUGUAGUGUAUGUGCACGUAAAUUUUUGAUUUUUAAAGUAAAAGUUCAAUUCUUUUUGAUGUAA